rnacentral:rRNA from 1 species
ACGGGGGUUGGAGGGCAAGUCUGGUGCCAGCAGCCGCGGUAAUUCCAGCUCCAAUAGCGUAUAUUAAAGUUGUUGCAGUUAAAAAGCUCGUAGUUGAAUUUCGGGAUCAAAUUGUUGGUCGUGCUUCGGUACGCACUGGCAUUAUUGGUUCCUACCUUCUGAAGAACCGCGAUGUCAUUAAUUUGGUGUCGUGGGGAAUCAGGACUGUUACUUUGAAAAAAUUAGAGUGUUUAAAGCAGGCGUACGCUUGAAUACAUUAGCAUGGAAUAAUGAAAUAGGACGUUUGAUUCUAUUUUGUUGGUUUCUAGGAUCGACGUAAUGAUUAAUAGGGAUAGUUGGGGGCAUUAGUAUUCAAUUGUCAGAGGUGAAAUUCUUGGAUUUAUUGAAGACUAACUACUGCGAAAGCAUUUGCCAAGGAUGUUUUCAUUAAUCAAGAACGAAAGUUAGGGGAUCGAAGACGAUCAGAUACCGUCGUAGUC